GACGAACGCUGGCGGCGUGCUUAACACAUGCCAGUCGAACGAAAAGAGGGAAAGAGCUUGCUCUUUCCGGAAUUGAGUGGCAAACGGGUGAGUAACACGUAAACAACCUGCCUUCAGGAUGGGGACAACAGACGGAAACGACUGCUAAUACCGAAUAAGUUCCAAGAGCCGCAUGGCCCAUGGAAGAAAAGGUGGCCUCUACCUGUAAGCUAUCGCCUGAAGAGGGGUUUGCGUCUGAUUAGCUGGUUGGAGGGGUAACGGCCCACCAAGGCGACGAUCAGUAGCCGGUCUGAGAGGAUGAACGGCCACACUGGAACUGAGACACGGUCCAGACUCCUACGGGAGGCAGCAGUGGGGAACCUUCCGCAAUGGGCGAAAGCCUGACGGAGCAACGCCGCGUGAGUGAUGACGGCCUUCGGGUUGUAAAACUCUGUGAUCCGGGACGAAAAGGCAGAGUGCGAAGAACAAACUGCAUUGACGGUACCGGAAAAGCAAGCCACGGCUAACUACGUG
rnacentral:rRNA from 1 species